rnacentral:rRNA from 1 species
CCUACGGGAGGCAGCAGUAGGGAAUAUUGCUCAAUGGGGGAAACCCUGAUGCAGCAACGCCGCGUGGAGGAUGAAGGUUUUCGGAUUGUAAACUCCUUUUGUUAGAGAAGAAAAUGAUGGGAUUUAACGAAUAAGCACCGGCGAAUACCGUGCCAGCAGCCGCGGUAAUACGGCGGGUGCAAGCGUUAGUCGGAAUCACUGGGGGUAAAGAGAGCGUAGGCGGGAUAGCAAGUCAGAUGUGAAAUCCUAUGGCUUAACCAUAGAACUGCAUUUGGUACUGUUAUUCUGGAGUGUGGGAGAGGUAGGUGGAAUUCUUGGUGUAGGGGUGAAAUGCGUAGAGAUCAAGAGGAAUACUCGUUGCGAAGGCGGCCUGCUGGAACAUAACUGACGCUGAGGCGCGAAAGCGUGGGGAGCAAACAGGAUUAGAUACCCUGGUAGUC